UACAGAGGUCCCAAGCGUUGUUCGGAUUCACUGGGCGUAAAGGGUGCGUAGGUGGCCGGUUAAGUCUGACGUGAAAUCUCCGAGCCUAACUCGGAAACUGCAUCGGAAACUAUCCGGCUCGAGGGUUGGAGGGGGGACUGGAAUACUUGGUGUAGCAGUGAAAUGCGUAGAUAUCAAGUGGAACACCAGUGGCGAAGGCGAGUCCCUGGACCAACACUGACACUGAGGAGCGAAAGCCAGGGGAGCAAACGGG
rnacentral:rRNA from 1 species